AUUUAAGCUUCAUACAUAAAGUUAUAGCUUUUUUUAGAA
rnacentral:tRNA from 1 species